UUUUUUUUUUUUGUCUUUUUGCCAUUUCUUGGGCUGCUCCCGGCAUAUGGAGGUUCCCAGAAGAGACAAUUAAUUAAUUAAUUAAUUAAAUAAGAAAAGAUUUUUAAAGGCAUAUGAGAAAGUAUAUUUCACUUCUCAUUCAAUACAACACAGUCCAUUGAGGGGAACUGGUCACCUCAGGGAAUGAAGCUUUAUUUAGCACAAACAGGAGAGGUUUUCAAUUAGUAUGUCUAUUCUUUAAUAAUUUCAUCAUUCUUCCGAGAUUAUAAAAGCAGUACAUCCUAGGUUAAAAAAAAUUGAGAAAAAAGAUCACCCACAAUAUUAUUACCUAGAGAUAAUAAGCUCUUAUUAGUAUUUGGCAUACAUACUUUCUUUUAAGAUUUCUAUAUACAGAGCUUUUGUCCAUAUUAAAGAAAAUUAGGGAGCUCCCAUUGUGGCUCAGUGGGUUAUGAACCCGACUAGCAUACAUGAGGAUGCAGGUUUGAUUCCUGGCCUUGCUCAGUGGGUUAAGGAUCUGGCAUUGCUGUGAGCUGUGCUGUAGGUCGAAUAAGAGGCUCAGAUCCUGCAUUGCUGUGGCUAGUGGCGUAGGCUGGCAGCUGCAGCUCUGAUUCAACACCCUAGCCUGGGAACUUCCAUAUGCCAAAGGUGUGUCCCUGAAAAGCAAAAAAAAAAAAAAAAAAAAAUCAUACAUUAAGCAUAUUCUCAUCCCAUUCUGUUUUUCUAAAUAUCAUUCCAUAUCAAUAAAUAUUGGCCUCUACCAUCCUGUUUAAAGAUUGCACAGUAUUUCACUAUAUGGAUAGGCCCUAAUGACUUAAUCAAUCCUUUAUUAAUAGGGGUUUAGGUUACUUUCCAUGUUUUGCUGUUGCAAAAAACAGGGCAAUGAGCAAUCUGGUACAUAUGACUGUUUCUUUAAGAUAAAUUCCUAGACGAUAGCUUGUCAUUUUAUAACUCUGGAUCCAUAUUGCCCCAAGUGUCACCCAUAAAAUACAUACCAAAUUUACCUUUUUCAAAAGAAGGAAACCUUUAAAUUUAAGAGUAAUAGCAUAUUUUACAUUUCUAAUAUUUAGAUUAAACAACCAAAAACUUUAAAAAUUCAAUUUAUCUCUAAAAAUCUAAAAUAUCAAUUCAUGCCUCUGAUAUUGCAUUAGAAUUACAUUUGGAGGGGGGGAAUUCUAAAAUACCUAAUAAACCGGUUUUGUUUUCAGCAUUUAUUAAUUUGAAAACUUAAACUCUGAAAAGAAUAUACUUGCUAUAAAACAAGCAAAUUAGUAGGGAAAACUAAAAGGCAAGAAGAGAGGCAAAAAAUACACUAAUCAGUUAUAGCAGCCACCAGGUCACCAAAUCUGAAUCCUAUACAAGGGCUGAGAAAGAAGCAUCAAGAAAAAGAGAAAAGGUGACAACUAAAAGAAACAGCUUUCAGAGACUCAGUGAUGGCUGGAUGAAAUUACACACAGACAUAUACAUCUACAUGCUCUGUAUAGAACCAAUCCUGAAGCUAAUCUCUAGGGGUUAGAACACAAGAGGAACCUUUGUGUGCUUUAUUUAACCAAACAUCAUGUACAAGGGGAUGGGGGAGGCCAGAUACAGGGAAGAGUGUCUAGGUAGCAGCUUGAGGGCCUAGUAUCAACUACUUCCCCUCCUGGGCACCAGGAGGGUAACAGGAACUUGAGGCAUAAAGCAGCUCCAAAGGCACUUAUUCCCUUCAAAACCAACACAAAUGACAAGGCUCAAUCAUCAAGUUCUUUGGCAAACUGGGCAAGGUGAGACUAUUUUUACCAACAAAUAAUUUACUGGAGAGCACCAUGUUUGUGCCUAGGAGGGGAAGGCCACAUAUUAUAACUAAUCUACUGGAGUUUCAUCCUAAUGGGGAAGGCAGGGACAUUAGAUAAAGCAACCAUAACAAAAGCACUGAACAUUUAAGAUGGAAAAUGGCAGUGUGUAUAGGGGUAAGAGGAGGUACUGUUGCUUGCUAACACCACACACCUAUAGGACUUGGGGUCUAACAUUCUUCUAGGCAAGGGCUCAGUAAACUAUGGCCCUUGAAUGGGUCAAAUCCAAUUCUGACUUAUGCUAUGAGCCAUUACCUAUAUAUAACACUUUUAAAUGGUUGAAAAAUUCUUAAAACUGUUUCCCAGCAUACAAAAAUUUCAUGAAAUUCAAACAUCAGUGUCCACAAAGUUUUACUGAACACAGCCAUGCCCACUCCUGGUCAAUGGCUACCUUCUCCAUGCACUGAGUUGGGAGGCUCUAAAUGCUUCAUGCUUGUUAGUUUGGCCCUGACAUACCCAGAAUUUAGACAUAGCCUGCUAGCCUAACAGAGAAUGCAGCCCCAUUUUUAAGAACAGCAGGCAGGUCUAAUUGGUUCUAUGGAUGCUGGGGUACUAGCCAAAUAGUAACCAGAAAAAUGUGAAAGGUUUUUUGAGUUGAAAGUAGAAUGGUCUCAGAAGGUGUGUGUUGGGGUGAGUAGGAUUAAAGGUUUCUCUCUGAAAGAAUACAUGAGCUAUCUCCUUGGACAAGAGAAUGAAACCGUCCUCAAAAUGACUACUACCUUUAGGAGCUUAGCACUGAGCAAAGCCUUUUGCCUUUAUUAUCUCAUUUAAUCUCAAACCCAGGUUCAAGUCUAAGCCUGUGUUCCUAACCACUCCCUGACUUAAAAGCACAAGACAACAAUGUUCACCAGGACUAAAAGAGAGGAAAAGACCACAGGAACAGUGGAAGGUUAUUUUAUGGCCAUGAGCAUCAGAAGUGUUCUAUUCAUCUCUCUCCUCCCUCUCCCUCUUUCUCCUUAUAGUAACAUCAUUUCCUUUAAAGAAAGUAAAAUGCAACUUAUUUCUUCCAGGAACUUGCUUGUUGAGAAAAACUGAUGCAGGUACUCAAACAUGGAGACAUUUUAAAGAUGUCACCAUCAAAGUUAUAGAUCUAACUUCUACUAAAUGCAAUCAAUGUGUAAGGGUCUCCAAAAGAAGGGGGUGAGGAAACAUUUUUUGAGGCAAUGGUUUAGAAAGCACAUAUACAGUUUAAUUUAGAUUUUUCAUUUAAAGUACAAUGAGGAGUAACAGUUAAAUGAAUCUUACUCAAAGAAAGGGCUAUGAUGCUGGUAGGCAGCUGAAUCUUUCUUACUAGGAUCCAUGUUCUUUGCUUUGCCAACUAUACCACCAUUUUCCUUCAAGUUCUCCAAAAAGCCUACAAUUAUAAGAACCACUCAAUCCUAACUCAUUUUGUGAAAACCAGAUUUUUAAGAAGUUUCACUUGGUUGAUAUUUUCAUCAUACUUAUUUGCAGAUAAUGUAUACCAUUAUUAUAUAACAUGUUUGUACAUAUUUACUUGGGUGUUUAUGAAUGGUUACCAACAUCUAGCUCCCAAGUUCUUCCUGUGCACCAAAUGAGGGGCUCAGAGUUUCAUACAGGGAACUUCCUGCAAGGCUCCCAACACUUCUACUAGGUAGGCUUUAUCUAGAUGAGGAACCUCAGGGUCAGGCAGGAUAAGUACAUACAGUGAAUGAGAACGAAAGAACCCAGAUUUGGACUUAAGCCUGUUUUGACUCAGAAACUGUGUUUUUCCCAGCAUUCUGCCAAGGCACCAACACAUUUCCUUAGACUAUCUCUCAGUCAAAUUUGCUGGAGAGCAGUAAGGGUGUGGAGUUGAAUAAACGAUUAGCUCUAAGAGUGGUUACUGGGCUCAAGCCUCUGCGUAUCCACAAUAAAUCCAUUUGAUCUAAUGUUUUUUGAUUUGUUUGGGUUUUUUCUGCUUUUUAGAGCUGCACCGAAGGCACAGAGAAGUACCCAUGCUAGACGUCCAACAGGGACUGCAGUUGCCAGCCUACACCACAGCCACUGCAAUGUGGAUCCGAGCUACAUCUGCAAUCUACACCACGGCUCACAGCAUUGCCAGAUUCUUACCCACUGGGUGAGGCCAGGGAUUGAACCUAUGUCCUCAUGGAUACUAGUUGGGUUCAUUACUGCUGAGCAGAGAUGGGAACUC
rnacentral:lncRNA from 1 species